rnacentral:tRNA from 1 species
GCAUCGGUGGUUCAGUGGUAGAAUGCUCGCCUGCCACGCGGGUGGCCCGGGUUCGAUUCUCGGCCGAUGUA